GAGGGGGAAAUCCCUUUUAGUUUUGCGAUUAGGCUGCCAGGCUUUGUAAAGGGCUUAAAAACAAAGUCAUGCUCAGUCUUUUGUAGGAGAGAUCCAGAUGUUAUGUAGAUUUCUGUGUGCAUGUUCGUUUCGAGCGGAUCCGGCGGUGAGCGCAGUAUUUACGUGUGUGUGUUGCUGGACUUUACCGUUUAUCGACGUUGCGCUUGUGGAAUGUAUGCUGGAGUAUUAGCUCGGUAAUGCCUUCUAAUGGUAGUGCUAAUUACAGUGGGGUUAUUUAGCAAAUUAAGUGAGAUGAUGCACCCCCCCAACCCUUGAGUACCGAAUGAACUUUUCCGAACACACAGGCACACACAGGCACACACACACACACACACACACACACGAGCGCGCGCGUUAAUUUUGGUGCGUUUCUCUCGCCCAAUCACUUCGCUGAAGCUACACCAUGCCUUACCUCAGAGCAGUCAAUUACCAAAGCUACCCGGGAUCAUCAAUCAUGGGGGAUGCUUGAAGUUUAGGGGAGGAGCGAUGGUCAAACUAUCGAUUGCUGCAGUUUUGUCCUCCCCAACCCCCCACCCUCGUUCACGGUCCCCUGCACAUAAAAUCUAAAACAGACUAUCCCGUUAAUAGUGGAAUUUAUCAAUGAUUAUGUACCCGUUUGUGAAUGUGGCCUCAUACAUAGAUGGCUUUUGAAAACACACGGCAGAAAAUAUAUUAUUCCGUUAGAUUUUGCUUUGCUUUGCUUUUCGUGGUGAUGACGAUGCUUUUCAGAGGUUUAGGGGUUUUUUUUAACUUUAAGAAAAUGACUCAAGGGGUAGUUAUAGAUAUUUGGCCUGAUUUUAAUAGGCAAAGGGAAUGAGCUCCAGAGGUCAAUAAACCCCUCCAAAAUGAUGAAUGAUUGAGUACCUGUGAUGAUGAUAGUGAUUACCGGAGCAAUUAAACAGUUUGAUUAAAUGAGCCAUCAUAACAAUGAUGUCUGCGGGAAAUCAGCCCUCACGUAUAAAGAAAGAUAGUGUGGAGAGCUGACAAACGCCAGUGGGCAUUCCUGCAUGUUCCGCUAGCGCCGAGCCCUGCAGAGCAGGGCUGUAUUUACAAAUAUGAGGGGAAUACGCAGAAAAGUCCCUCUCCUACUUAUAGCCAGAGUUGCACCCUGCUUAAAACCCGCCAGAAGCCGGAGAGCAGCGACGGGUUUUUUUUUCCUAGAGGAUCUCCUCCAAGAUAAAAGCUAGUCCUAAGAGCAACCGAAUUGCUGUGACUGACUUUCACGGGACUGUAAAGAGAGAAAUCUCUGUAGAUCUCAGCUGCCCUGACUAAGAAAUCCUGAGAAAACAGACUAAAGUCAAAGCUGAAAAAAAGCAUCCAAAGACUUGUGCAGUGUUCAGUGCUGCUCCUUUCAAUUGUUUAAUUUUUUCCCCCCUCCUAAAGUAAUUAACCCCCUGCGCUGUCUUGCCCUGCUGUGCAUGUUUGUAAUCUGGGACAGAGACCAACUUUUAAAAAUUAUUCUAACUUGAUAGAAAGUUAAAUUUCAUAUAGUAAAUUAAGAUCUUUCAUGUUCCUCCUGUGUCUUUUUUUUCCACGUGAAAAGACUUGAAGCCUUUUUCCUCAUCACUAUCCCAGUGGAUUAAAGCACACAGAGAACGUGGUAUAUAAAGCGCUACAGUUUAGCCAUUAAAAAGGGAUCUCAAUUUAGCGCCCUUAAGUGAAUGUACUCAUCUAUUAACAAAGAUGCUGUUGGGAACUCGGAGGAAAAUGGGAUACGUGUGAGCAGAAAGUGAGGGCUUUCACAUACUUAGGUGAUUUUUAUUUACACCCCCCCCCCCCACUAGUGACAUUUCCUUUUUUAAAAAAAGCAAUUCGGGAAAAUUAAAAUGGGUAAUUUCCAUUGCUCCUGAAUCGCUUCCAGAGCGAGGGCUGUUUUCAGGAAAAGUGUGAGAUAGAUACGAGUCGGGGUGGUGACUGGUUUUUUCUUUUUUUUUUUUUUUUUUUUUUUUUUUUUUUUUUUGAUAGAUCGGCUCAAAAGUCCAAAGAGAAAUGAGGUGUCCGGUAUGGAAGUGCAUCUCAGUCAACCGCCAGCUCCUUUUGCCGAGGCUGGAAAUGGUUUUAACAGGCGGUAAAAUUUCAUCUUGUGGUGUCAAAUUGGGGUCAGUUUGGGGUUAGCGCUCUCAGUGUCCGAGCAGGAGCUGUCCAGCUGUGUGGGGAUUCAUUAAGGGCAAAAGAUCCGUUUCAAGAAAAACAAUACAAAGACAAUCAGAGGGCUAAAGAUCCUCUUCAAAUCGCAUUUUACAAGUGCACCAGAACAAAUAUGGAUGCUGAAACCUAUUCCCUUCAAACUCCCAAAUCGGCUUCUUAGCCCUCGGAAGGAGCGAGAGAGAAAAUCCUCUAAAAGUUAAGAAGAGUCUGUUUUCAAUCAGCCUUUCCGAAGUGUGGCAUCUUAGUCCUUUGCUGGCUUUGAGGCAUGCCUCUCUUGCUUGCUCGUUACAUCUCUCCCCGCCUCCCUCUCUCUCUUUUUCCACAGCCUUACAAAAGCGGAUGGCACAACAGGUAAUAUUUCAGAUUUCAAGAAUAAAUCCCACCGGAGAUCUUAAACCGCUGUUUUGCACGCGCGUGUGCUCCUAUCACAAGAUUUAAUGCAAAUAGAAAGUUUUUAGAGGGAAACAAAGCCAUGCUUGCAAGAAAUCCUAUUGUACCCUGUAGGAAAUUUUGAGCUCUCCUUGUAGGUGAUCCUCCGGUCCGAUGGGUAAUUUAGGCUAGAUUUACUUUCCGGUUUUUAGCACUUGUGGAAAGCACCUAUUGCUAAUCUGGUUUAUUAAAUUCGCAUGGUUUAAAUCCUCUUAACGUCCCUACAUCUGUUAGGACAAUUGACGCCUUGCUACAGGGACAAAUAACUUGAACCUUAAUCUUGUUUGUAACUUUAUUCAAUGUUUGUUUGUUUGUGUGCUGAGUUCAAGUAUUUUGGAGGAUGCCAUUGUGUUCGGUAACACGUAGACUGCAUUUGAAAACAAAACUCCUCUUAGACGGGUCAGGGUUAUCCUGCAACACAGUGAAAAAUUUAGCAUAUUCGAACAGGCUUUUUAUCUCGAACUAUCAUUCUGGGCAAUGUGUCAUAAUUAAUGAAGAAAGUAAUCUGUCUGUUCAAAUAUGGACGCUGGACAUCACUGUGACACCGUAGUGAAAUUCACGUGAAUUUUACUUUUUGUUUUACUUGCAACGCGAAGUAUAGAGUUUAAAUAGUACCUUUUUCUUUUUAUAUUCAGGAUUGUGCCACAGUUAAAUUCCUACCCCCAAACCCGAUCUUUACCACACUCUCUUUUGCCCUUACGGGUUGCUUUUUACAACUUCAGUCACUUUUUAUUCGUCUCAGCACUCUUUGAUUCGCCUCCGACUUCCCGCAGCUGCAAGACUUUCGAGGUCCCAUCUCGGGUGCCCCUGUGAAAUCAUGCACAUUUUAGCUUCUGCAGAUCACUGGGUUCAUUUAGCUCCUCACCCUGAUUCCCCCGCCUGCCAGCGGUGUGCUUCGCUUUUCAGUAAUGUAUUAUUAUUAUUUGUCGAAAAACUUUCUAAUCCUGAAAGUCAAUGGUAGCCCAUCACGGUGAACUUUUCUUGACCUCGACUGUAGUAUGACUGAGAUCUUUGGGAGCUGGAUUAGGAGGAGGUUCAUUUACUUACCUGUUACUUCGCUUUUUGCUCUUUCUUCCACCCCUUCGCCCUGUGUGGUUUUUUUUUUUUGUUUGUUUUUUUUUUUUUUUUAGGGAAAAACCCCAACCCCUCACGAAACAAGAACGAUGCGGGCUCUCCCUCCCCUGCCGCCCCAGUCUCCCCUCGCUGCCGGGACGCGGGGCUGCAUCCCGGCGCUGGCGGGCUGCCCCGGCGGGCGCCGCCAUCAGCGGCCCUCUAGCGCUAUCUGGCGGGGCUCCAGCCCGAGCCGGGCCCGGCUCUCCGCCGCCGCCGCCGGGGCCGCCGCGGGGCCGGCGCGGGGCUCGCUCCGCGGCCGCAGCGCCCUCGCCCCCGGCCAGCGCCUCCCGCGGGACGCUGGUGAGGCCCAGCCCCGGGUUCCACCCCUGAGGGCCGAAACCCGCCGUGGGAAGGGGCACAGAGAUGAAGCCUUUCGAGCCUUUCGCGUUUGUCCGGCUUAUGUCAUUCGCGUGGUGUGAAGCACUAAAGUCAGAGAAGAGAUGAGUUCUUUUUUUUUUUUUUUUUUUUUAAUUAUGUUAUUUAGGCUGGAAUGUUUUUGAAAGCGGAAUGUUUGUAAAAGUGGAGACCAUAAACAGUCGACGUGUAUUUCCAUCACACGCCAGAGGGAAAAAUAAAAAAAGAAGAAGAGAAGAAAACAACCACAAACCUGUCAGGGCUUCCCACUAAUACUGUUUGCACAGGGUAGUAAAAAAUCUAGAUUACAAUUGUUCUAAGAAUCCCGAAGUAUGAAAAAAAUUUAAUCUUUCCGGUAUAACAUGGUAACCAAAAGGACAGUUAGGGCAAAGUAAAUGGCUUUAGUGCGAUACCAGAGAAUCUGCAAAGGCUUCAAACUCUCCACAAGCUCACUCAAAAUAUCUCCUUUUGUUCUCCAGCUGCCUAUAAAACUCCAGAAGAGAAGUGCUCUCAGUUUUACACUGGAGCAGAGUGUUCUUGGCCCAGAGAGGACAAUAUACUCCUACCUCUUUUGAAAUGAUCCGGAGACUCUCACAACACACAGGCAAUCACUCGAAGCACGAAUUUCCCUUUUUUUUUUUUUUUUUUUUUUUUUUUUACCCCAAGUACUGCUCGGCCCAUUGUUUGAAUUGGGAUUCAGUGCAGAGCCCAAAGAGAAAAGGAAAAAAAAAAAAUCCUGAGAGCCCGGUUUGGUAUUGCACAGAGAGAGAGCUGACAAAAUAUUAUAGCGUGUUUCCUAGAAGUACAUGGUGAGAGCCGGCGGUGUGUUCCCGAAAAGAGGUUGCUUUUUAUUUCCACUACCACCCCCCUCAAGAUUGUGAUCUUCUUUGUAUGUCUUUCUUUUGAUCCCACAAAGAGAAUGCAAUACACAUAUAUGUGUUUGCUCUCCAUACAAGAAAUGCUAUACAAUGGGAUAUGUGGCCGGUUAGCCCUCAUAAUGCUUAGUUUUGCUGUAAUUAAUUGAAAACAGUUAUUAGGUCGUCAUUGGCAAUAGCGUAAAUAAUUGCAGCAGAUUUUUACUUAAAAUUGACCGGUCAUAGAGUGAUAGAUCGAUUCGAGGUAUAAAAAUGAUGUAUCAAAACAUCAAUGUCGAUUAUUUGAAAUAUUGUAGUCGAAUCUUUUUAUUGCUUCAUCGGUUAAGUGUCUGAAAGUGCUGUGUUCCAACAUAUAUUUAUGUUGUCAAUACUGUCAAAACUGUCAGUUUUAUUACAGUGGAUUUGUAAUACAUUUCGGAUUUGCUCAUUUACAUAAAAUGUCCACCUCAGAUACCCCUCCUUUUCUCCAUCUCUGGAAAUCUGUGUCAGUUUAAUGAAAGGAUUCAAGACUCAUACCUGAAGAGGGGGGGGAAAAAAGAAAAAGGAAAGGAGAAAAAAAAAAAGGAGGUGUUGCUCCAUUAUGUCCAAUUUUAACAUCCGUUUGGAAAGCUUGGGCUAUUUCUGACUCGCCAAAAGAGGGAAUUCCUCCCCCCUUCCCCCUCCCUCCCCCGGCCCCGCUUAUUUCCCCAGUAGAAUUUAAACACUUUUCUACUCUCACACCUAGAUUAAACCAUCCAGAAGAAUUGAGAAAUUGUACAGGGUUACAGUGAGGAGCCAAAGCACACCUGUGAAUGCCGCACCCUUCCCAAAGAGAGCAACAGCCCCCCGAACCACGCACACACGCGCAGGGGUUUGAAUCCUGCUAGAAAGAAGGAGACAAAAGGAGCAAUAAAUAUGUGUGUGAUCCUUUCCUAACGGUUUGGAACCCAAAGGAAAAAAGCAAACUGUAAGCAGUGUUGGGCAUUUGAUGCCCCCCGCCCCUAUUUUAUCCGGGUCUGAUCGAUGUGAUUAUUCCCUUUAACUGUAAGAAGUGAUUUUUUUAUUGACAUGAUCUCAGGCAAAUUUUCUCCAAGAGCCCAGCUGAGGGAUAGAGAAACUCAAGAAUAAAUAAAUAAGUCCAUUUACACAAUAAACUCUCUUCGAUAGAACAAAGAGUGAAAUUAGGCAAGUAACUUUAUUUCCCACCCCUUUUCCGAGGAUGAGGGUGUUUAAAGGUGUUGGUGAGAUGGACCUGAGGGGUAUGUGGGUUGGUUUCUUUCCCCUUCCCUCUUCCCACAACUCCCCCCCCCACCCCCCCUCCCCCAUUCCCCCCGGGAUAUCUGUGUUUAAAUAGAUGCUGAAGAUAUUUCUGAGUUCACGGGAAAGAAGGAAGGUUAGUUAAGGGAAUGGCAGCGCGCCUGGCAGGUAUUUUAAUGACUGUCCCUUCCUUUGAACACUUUCAAUUUCUCUGCUUCUUGUACAGAAUAUGUUUCCCAAACCAAGUAUGAUUUCUGUUGUAACUCUUGUGUGUGAUUGUGAUCCCUUCUGAGGUAAAUUGAGAAGUACGCUGCGCAAAAGGAGGAAAUCGCCCCUGGGGUGCUUUGUUUACUUUGGUUUGUAAAAUCCUGCUAGGAGAUGGUUUCCUCAGUGUGUGGCAAGUGUUUCUUCAAGAAAUUCAUCAGCCCUUCUACAAUUACUUCGAGCUCCGAGGGAAGAAAGCUGCCAUCACUUUCUCACAUCACAAGGUGUUGCAUGGGGGAGAGAAGAAAAGGCUGGAGCAUUUAAUUAUAAUGGGGAGGGGGGUGUGGGGAGAGCGGAGGCUGCAGAAAGCCGUCCCAAGCCUGUACCUGGAAAAGAAAAACCUGCAAGGGUAUACUUGGGAAGCGUGUGCCAUUUAGACAUGGGGAAAAGUACCCCGUCUUGUGCAGUAAUUAGUCUGAACAAUAAACAUAAUUGGAACAAAA